CACCCCCAAAAUAAUGCUUUGAACUUAUAAGAACAACCAAUUGUGUCGAUGUUUGUUCAUGUAGGAACUUCAACUUCUGUUGGAAAAAUGUCUAUAGUUAUAAGUCAGAUAACUGCUUCGACUAUAUCACAAGAAAUGUCGGUAUCCUUAUCACAAUUAAUGAGUGUGCUUACUACCCCUAGGGCUACAUAAAAUAUAAUAGGAGAUCAAAGGCCUCAUUUUCCCUUUAGUUUCAUG
rnacentral:lncRNA from 1 species